AACGAACGCUGGCGGCAGGCUUAACACGUGCAAGUCGAGCGCCCCGCAAGGGGGAGCGGCAGGACGGGUGAGCAACGCGUGGGAAUCUACCCAUCCCUACGGAACAACUCCGGGAAACUGGAGCUAAUACCGUAUACGCCCUUCGGGGGAGAGAUUUAUCGGGGAUGGAUGAGCCCGCGUUGGAUUAGCUAGUUGGUGGG
rnacentral:rRNA from 1 species